UAUAAGAGGUCCAGCCUGCCCAGUGACCAAAAGUUUAACGGCCGCGGUAUUUUGACCGUGCAAAGGUAGCGCAAUCACUUGUCUUUUAAAUAAAGACCUGUAUGAAUGGCCAAACGAGGGCUUAACUGUCUCCCUUUUUAAGUCAGUAAAAUUGAUCUGCCCGUGCAGAAGCGGGCAUAAAAAUACAAGACGAGAAGACCCUUUGGAGCUUAAGGUACAAAACUCAACCACGUCAAGCAACCAACAUAAAAUAGCAGUAAACCUUGUGGUAAAUGAGACCAUACCUUCGGUUGGGGCGACCACGGAGGAAAAAAAAGCCUCCAAGUGGAGUGGGGAAACCCCCUAAAACUAAGAGAGACAUCUCUAAGGCACAGAACAUCUGACCAUAAAUGAUCCGGCCAACAAAUGACCGAUCAACGAACCAAGUUACCCUAGGGAUAACAGCGCAAUCCUCUCCCAGAGUCCAUAUCGACGAGAGGGUUUACGACCUCGAUGUUGGAUCAGGACAUCCUAAUGGUGCAGCCGCUAUUAAGGGUUCGUUUGUUCAACGAUUAAAGUCCUACGUGAUCUG
rnacentral:rRNA from 1 species